rnacentral:rRNA from 1 species
GACGAACGCUGGCGGCGUGCCUAAUACAUGCAAGUAGAACGCUGAAGGAGGAGCUUGCUUCUCUGGAUGAGUUGCGAACGGGUGAGUAACGCGUAGGUAACCUGCCUGGUAGCGGGGGAUAACUAUUGGAAACGAUAGCUAAUACCGCAUAAUAGCAGUUGUUGCAUGACAACUGUUUGAAAGGUGCAAUUGCACCACUACCAGAUGGACCUGCGUUGUCUUAGCUAGUUGGUGGGGUAACGGCUCACCAACGCGACGAUACAUAGCCGACCUGAGAGGGGGGUCGGCCACACUGGGAAUGAGACACGGCCCAGACUCCUACGGGAGGGAGCAGUAGGGAAUCUUCGGCAAUGGACGGAAGUCUGACCGAGCAACGCCGGGGGAGUGAAGAAGGUUUUCGGAUCGGAAAGCUCUGUUGUAAGAGGAGAACGAGUGUGAGAGUGGAAAGUUCACACUGUGACGGUAUCUUAACAGAAAGGGACGGCUAACUACGUG